UAAAUCAAGCCUUUUGUUUUUCUCACUGGAUUUUUCAGUGAGAUGCUGCAACAAGCAAACCAAAUCCUUCCUUGGUCCGUUUGAUCCUUGGCUACUCCAGCUUCUCCUUGUUCGAGCAGAAAGAGAAGGGCAAACUAAAGUAUUAUACAAGUGUCAGAUCUGAGAAGUACUAGCUCCCAGGUCCAAACCCCCUUGGCUCAUUCCUGAGGUUUGUAUGUCCCUGAUGAUGUAGGGCCUAUUAAAAAAAGACCACAUCCUCAAGACAUCCCUUCCUUAAGUGAUGCACUGUCUCCAGUAUUUUUACAGGACAGCACUAAUUUUUCAUAAUGAGACACAUUAGGCUCCAGCCCUUUAAUAGACUUGUCAAGUCUCAUGUAUUCAGAAUGAAAUUAGCUCAUUUAGUUCCUGUCUCUCACUCCCCUGUUGUGCUGCUGAUGAUAAGAUGCAGAUGUGCUGUGCCAUGCCCCUCUGCUGCUCCAGGAGGACCUGCCCAAAUGUAGCCAGGCAAUUUGGUACUGCCAGGAAGGCAAGCAGCACAGUCUGUGUGGUGAGCACUGCAGAAUGCUGCCCUGUCCAUGUCAUCCACGCUCCCUUAUUAUGUCACAAAGUGCAUGGACAUCUGUGGGAGCCCUCUGUGCUUACCCAGAACAGGCAUGGGAGAGGAGGCCUCUUAGCCUGGGACCUUGGUCUGCUUUGUCCAGCAUUAGAGAUGUUCCCUGGCUGGUCCUCUUUCCUGUAGGUGUGGAUGGUGCCUCCAGAGGGGGAGAAAGAUCCUUAUUACUACUCUGAAUGCAACACGUUGUCUCAAAACCAUCUAUAGAGCUCCAGGCCCAGAGAUGUUCCCCUACCACAGAGGCUUACUGGUGUCUCCAGGACAUCAGCUUGCAUCUAAGCCCUGGACAAAUUCCAGUGUCCCAGCUAAAGGAGUGGAGCAGGACAAUCCAAAGGAAGCAGGAGAGGGUGAACGUGAGGACAGAAUAGCAAGCUGGUGGGUCUGCUGAAGCCUUAACAAGUCUUGUCCCAUGGUACAAGAUUUGGAAAUGUCAGGAGGUUCAAAAGCGUCACCCAUAAGGAAUGGACCUCUGAUUUUCUUUCUUCCCUACAUUGGAUUUCCAAGUGUUGAAAGGCUUCUGAUCCAUUAAAGACUUCAUGGCAGGAGGUUGUUUACUGAUUCAAGGGACAUCUAUAGAUAAUAUUGAUUCUAAUAAUAGCCUACCCACAGCUUUGCAGAAGAAGGUAUCCCUUCUGGCACUUUAUUUCUGCUCCCCCAAAAGUGACUUCAGUCAUGUGAAACAAUGGAGAGUCUCCAAAAUAGUGAGGAAGAGGCAGAAAGUGAAGCUAUGAAGUAAAGAAGUGUGAAAACACCAGGAAGAGGAGGACGGAGUGAGAGCAGUCCUGAAGAUAGAUCUUGGAGGAAAGGGUGAAGGAAGGGAAAGUGACAGGAAAGAUCAACAAAAGAAGGGGAAAAGGUGACAGCAUAUGUGCUUGGGAAAUGAAUGUAGAGGAUGAAGAGAAAGCAAAGGGGGGGUGUAUGUGUAUGUGUGUGGAGGGAGAGAUUAGAAGAGGCAGUAACAGAAAGAAGUGAAGUUGUCUAACAUGUAGAGAUGGGAAGUGACAUGUUUGUUUGAAUUCUGGGGCUGCUCAGCCUGGCUGCACUCUGGUUUCUGCCUUUGAUCAGCUGCAUGGCAGACUGGUGUCAGAUCAGAAAGCAAAUGAGAUGAUAAAGCGGCUGAGGCUGCAGUGAGUUUAACAGCAGCAGAGUGGCAGGGGAUGGGGGGGAGGAACUGCUGAAUGAGGUGAAUGUUUUCUGUGCUUCAGUUCGCAGGGUCCUGGUGGCGAAUGCAGCUGCCUCCCCUGCAGAGAGGCUGAGCCUGGUCGGAGCAAGAAGCUCGGCUGCACCGCUCACCUGCAGGAGAAGGACCCAUCACUCCGUGCUGGUACCGUUGUCAGCAGUGCUCUUGCCGAUUGCAAGAGCGGUGGAAGCAUCAAAGGGGUGCCCUUGGAAUGUGUGCCUAAUGAUGAUCAAUGAAAAUAGAAGCCCUGUUGCAGCGAGACUCAUGAGGUGCUGCUCACAGCUGGCACACGGAGGCAUGGUUGUAAAAAGAAGAUGCUGGGCAUUGGGACUAAUUGUCCCACCAGAUUCCUUCUCACCUUGGAAAACCCUUGUCUCCUCCCAGCAGGGGAGAUGGGCCGCCUGUCCUGGUGUGGAUACUGGUAU